rnacentral:rRNA from 1 species
GUAGGGAAUAUUGCGCAAUGGGCGAAAGCCUGACGCAGCAACGCCGCGUGAGUGAUGAAGGAUUUCGGUUCGUAAAGCUCUGUUGCAGGGGAAAAAGAAAGUGAUUGUACUCUGCGAGAAAGGGACGGCAAACUUCGUGCCAGCAGCCGCGGUAAUACGAAGGUCCCUAGCGUUGUUCGGAAUCAUUGGGCGUAAAGCGCAUGUAGGUGGCUUUGUAAGUCAUGUGUGAAAUCCCCGGGCUCAACCCGGGACGUGCACUUGAAACUGCUUAGCUUGAAUACGGGAGAGGGUAGUGGAAUUCCUGGUGUAGUGGUGAAAUACGUAGAUAUCAGGAGGAACAUCGGAGGCGAAGGCGGCUACCUGGCCCAGUAUUGACACUGAGAUGCGAAAGCAUGGGGAUCAAACAGGAUUAGAUACCCUAGUAGUCC